ACCAGAUGUCACUAAAUAGGACUGCUCAGAGCUUCAAAGCUGCAGAAAACUUCAUUUGACCAUCACAAGUUUGAUUUUGGGCUUUGGUCACUCCUCUAGCUGUUUGUCAGAACAUUACUUCAAGUUUCCGUUUGCUGCUGAUUCUUCCCUUCUACCCUACGGUAGACUCUCGUUUUUUGCUCUUCAAAACUGCUACAUCAUCCUACACAAUUGCCAACAGAAAUCACCUGGCAGACAAUUCUGAUGGGUCCAGUGGAAUCAAUUUGUUCCACCUUGCCUCCACAUGAAAAGUGACCUGAGGUUCCAUGCCACAUUCUGUACCUACACCUGGAUAAGUAUCGUCACAAUUACCAUGACAGAUUGGUAAUUAAUUCUCUACUCUUUCCAGUCACUUGACGGUCCCUUAAAGGAUCCAGGGUCGGUGAAUUGUACAGAAGAGAGGCACCCUAAACCAAAAUGGCUACCACAGCAUUGUGCAACGCUAUGCAAUACACUCUCGUAUGUGUUCUGUUGGUCAGGGAUUCAUCCUAAAGCAAGAUAAUGACCCAAAACAUAAAUCUAAGUUAUGCCAGAACUACCUCAGGAAAAAAGAAAAAGAUGGUAAGCUUGAAAACAUGGAAUGGUCUCCAGACUUAAACCCAUCGAGCUGGUUUGGGAUGAACUGGACAUAAGAGUGAAAACAAAGCACCCUACUUCUGCAACAGAUUUGGGACGAACUUUCUGAAAAAUGUUUGAUUUUGAUUAUAGAAAGAAGGCCACGAGUGUGUUCAGCUGUUAUUUCAGCCAAAGGUGGUUUGAGUCAAAAGUUUAGAAUUCCUAUUGUUCUGUAGUGAUUCUAUGAUUUCCUUUUUAACUUAAAUUGCUUUUGUACUAUGCUUUCAUUUAAGAGUGCAAUGAAACAAUAAAAUGGAUGAUUUUCAAUAAAAAACUGAAAUAAAUGGGGUGUUUUAAAACGUUUAAA